AAAAUUUUCUGGUCUCACUCGUAAUUUGGUCUCCAAAAGUAAAGCAGCAAUUUUCAGUACAAAUAUCAAACCCAACAAAAUUUGUUCGUUUUCGUUUUUAAAUUAAAAUUUUAAAUCAUUUCUCAAAAUUUGUUUUUGUUUGCCUUCGUUGCAGUUUCAUUUAAAAGUUGGCUUAUCCAAGCUAUGGUUGUGGCACGUGCAACGGCUCCAUGCCUGGCCCCAUGAGGUCGCUGUCCGCCCCCACAAUUCUGUAUUGUCGAUGUGUCCGUUAUCUGUGUGCAGUGCGUUGGACCGUUAUGCCGCUGGCAG